rnacentral:rRNA from 1 species
GCUACGGGAGGCAGCAGUGAGGAAUAUUGGUCAAUGGGCGAGAGCCUGAACCAGCCAAGUCGCGUGAAGGAUGACGGCCCUACGGGUUGUAAACUUCUUUUGUCAGGGAGCAAUUGGGUCCACGCGUGGGCUUAGCGAGAGUACCUGAAGAAAAAGCAUCGGCUAACUCCGUGACAGCAGCCGCGGUAAUACGGAGGAUGCGAGCGUUAUCCGGAUGGAUUGGGUUUAAAGGGUGCGUAGGCGGAAUAUCAAGUCAGCGGUAAAAAUUCGGGGCUCAACUCCGUCGUGCCGUUGAAACUGAUGUUCUGGAGUGGGCGAGAAGUAUGCGGAAUGCGUGGUGUAGCGGUGAAAUGCAUAGAUAUCACGCAGAACUCCGAUUGCGAAGGCAGCAUACCGGCGCCCAACUGACGCUGAAGCACGAAAGCGUGGGUAUCGAACAGGAUUAGAUACCCUUGUAGUC